rnacentral:rRNA from 1 species
AGUGAACGCUGGCGGUAGGCCUAACACAUGCAAGUCGAACGGCAGCACAGUAAGAGCUUGCUCUUACGGGUGGCGAGUGGCGGACGGGUGAGGAAUACAUCGGAAUCUACUUUUUCGUGGGGGAUAACGUAGGGAAACUUACGCUAAUACCGCAUACGACCUACGGGUGAAAGCAGGGGAUCUUCGGACCUUGCGCGAUUGAAUGAGCCGAUGUCGGAUUAGCUAGUUGGCGGGGUAAAGGCCCACCAAGGCGACGAUCCGUAGCUGGUCUGAGAGGAUGAUCCGCCCCACUGGAGCUGAGCCACGGUCCAGACUCCUACGGGAGGCAGCAGUGGGGACUAUUGGACAAUGGGCGCAAGCCUGAUCCAGCCAUACCGCGUGGGUGAAGAAGGCCUUCGGGUUGUAAAGCCCUUUUGUUGGGAAAGAAAAGCAGCAGGUUAAUACCCCGCUGUUCUGACGGUACCCAAAGAAUAAGCACCGGCUAACUUCGU